CACCUCAAAAGAGUCAAUUCUGA
rnacentral:snRNA from 1 species